rnacentral:rRNA from 1 species
GAUGAACGCUGGCGGCAUGCCUAAUACAUGCAAGUCGAGCGAACGGACGAGAAGCUUUCUUCUCUGAUGUUAGCGGCGGACGGGUGAGUAACACGUGGAUAACCUACCUCUAAGACUGGGAUGACUUCGGGAAACCGGAGCUAAUACCGGAUGAUAUUUUGAACCGCAUGAAUCAAAAGUUAAAGACGGUCUUGCUGUCACUUAUAGAUGGAUCCGCGCUGCCUUAGCUAGUUGGUAAGGUAACGGCUUACCAAGGCAACGAUGCAUAGCCGACCUGAGAGGGUGAUCGGCCACACUGGAACUGAGACACGGUCCAGACUCCUACGGGAGGCAGCAGUAGGGAAUCUUCCGCAAUGGGCGAAAGCCUGACGGAGCAACGCCGCGUGAGUGAUGAAGGUCUUCGGAUCGUAAAACCCUGUUAUUAGGGAAGAACAUAUGUGUAAGUAACUGUGCACAUCUUGACGGUACCUAAUCAGAAAGCCACGGCUAACUACGUG